rnacentral:tRNA from 1 species
UUCAGGGAGACCUACCCUAUUUGAUACCGAAACAAAGUGAAUUAGGUACAGAUAAGGUCAUCCUAAGGUCGUUCGAGGUUGAGGUUGAACUAGAUGGCUUUCAAACUAACUAGGUGAGGGACCGUGGGCUAUUAGCUCAGGUGGUUAGAGCGCACCCCUGAUAAGGGUGAGGUCCCUGGUUCGAGUCCAGGAUGGCCCACCUUAGCAUGGGGGUUUAGCUCAGUUGGUAGAGCGCCUGCUUUGCAAGCAGGAUGUCAGCGGUUCGAGUCCGCUAACCUCCACUGAGAAACGAUUUAGCAACUAGUCUAGUCACAACAACUAGAGAGCCUGCUGGAUUUAGGUCCAGUCAGAACCUUGAAAACUGCAUAGAAACUUGUCAGGUAGGUAGUCUUAGUUCAUUAGCCUUGUUGCUAACGAACCAAGAUGAAUAUCACAGACACCAAUGUAAUUGAUUAAAGU